rnacentral:rRNA from 1 species
UACGGAGGAUCCGAGCGUUAUCCGGAUUUAUUGGGUUUAAAGGGUGCGUAGGCGGAAAUGUAAGUCAGUGGUGAAAUCCUGCAGCUUAACUGUAGAAUAGCCGUUGAAACUGUGUUUCUUGAGUACAUUUGAGGUAGGCGGAAUGUGGUGUGUAGCGGUGAAAUGCAUAGAUAUACCACAGAACACCGAUUGCGAAGGCAGCUUACUAAACUGUCACUGACGCUGAUGCACGAAAGCGUGGGUAUCAAACAGGAUUAGAUA